rnacentral:lncRNA from 1 species
CCGCCCAGGUCAUGAUCCCAGGAUCCUGGGAUCGAGUGCUGCAGCAGGCUUCCAGCUCAGCAAGGAACCUGUUUCUCCCUCUGCCUGCUGCUCUCCCUGCUUGUGCUCUCUCCCUCUCCAUCCCUGCCAUAAAUAAGUCCACCACUUCAUUUCCAUUUGGACUGCUGCUGCUCAUUUCCAUGAAUUAUACCACAUCUUCUUAUGACUGUAGACAAUUCAAUUGGCCUAUGGUAUGAUUUUCAAGGGAGAAUGGUCACAUCAUAGCUCCUGAUACUAGAAAUGAGUCAGUCAUAAAAGUCUCUUAUGCCUGAGGAACUUUUCUGCAUCUUUUAAAAAACAGUAAUAAUUAAAAAUACAUACCAUUUAUUUAACCAUUGACACAUGCUGGGCCAUAUGACAAUAAAUAGCUGGAAAAGUGAGAAGAAAAUGGUGGUUGGCAUAUACAUUUAGUUGUAGAAACAGUGGUUGACUUUCCCCAAGAACUUGGGGUGGAAUUCACAACAAAGGAUGAAAUCAUAGGACAGUCUGUGACUCUCAGAAGGACAGUUGCUGACAGAUUCUAGGGGAACACCAACAUCUAGAUCAAGGAAGAGAAACCACAUAAGGAAGUCAAAGUGAUGGGAAGAUGUCCCUGAGAGGAAGGAGCUUCAAGAAAAGGGUGGCAUACGCAUUUUAAGGGAUGUGGGAAUGAAGAGGGACAGGACGGAUUCAUAGAAAAGGUCAUUGACUUAAGAAAGAGCGAUUGCAGGGAUUCAGGGCAGGAUGCCAGAAGGGAGCUGGAAGGUGAAGGGGAUCUGGGAACUUAAUUCCCUAGUGGACUGUGGCACUUUCCAGUUUCAGAAUUUACUUGCAAACUGCUUCAUUUAGGUUGAAAUAAGUAAAGUUCAUUUCAGCUUAGUAGGAAUACAGAUUCU